AGUCGUAACAAGGUUUCCGUAGGUGAACCUGCGGAAGGAUCAUUAAUAAUGCCUCCUGGCUUCGGUUCGAGCUGGGUUCAAGUGUGUGUCAUCUCUUCGGAGAUGGCCAUCCACACACACCGUGAACUGUGACUUCGGUCAUCACAAACUUUUAGUAAUGAAUGUAAAAUCAUAACAAAAUAAA
rnacentral:misc_RNA from 1 species